UCCGAUAUGGUGUAAUGGUUAACAUCCUACGCUUUCACCGUGGAGCUCGGGGUUCGAUUCCCCGUAUCGGAG
rnacentral:tRNA from 1 species